UAAAAAGUCUAGCCCUAAACAGUAAGCCUGCUAGGGCUAUAAAGCCCUAGCCCCUCCUUUCUCGCUUCAUCACACAAUAUUCCCUCCAAGUUGAACGUGGUCUUAGAGGUUUUGUCGAUGAUGCAGAGAUUUGAAGCUAUCUUUUUCGCCAUCUUGCUGCUUGUGGCAACCAUGGAAGCUGAUGGAAAACGAAUGACCCUGGAGAAGGAGCCAGAGCCAAGUAAUCAUCAGCUGGGUCGAAAGGUCGACGUCGGAGCUAAAGAUGGUAUAGAUCUAACCGCCGUCGACGGUGCCGGAGAAGAUGACUCCGAUGUGGCCCUUUUGGCUUCCCAGAACAAAGUUACGACAGAAUCACGUCACCAUUUCUUCCCAAACGAAAGCAACCCUUAUAGACACAAUAGACCUUGAAACUGAUGAUCACCUUGCAAAUUGCUAAGCAAUUUGGUUUGAGCUUUACCAAAUAAAACUGGAAAUUAACAUGUUAGAAUAACCUAAAAGCAUAUAUGUAUAUGUAUAUGCAUAUGAACAUGUUAAGUUUCCAUAACAAAAUCAGUGUUUAAAGAAGCGUGUUCAGUUCAAUCGUAUGAACUAUGUGAAAAUCUGGGUUUUGCACCUACUUAAUCAAGAUGUGUAAUCAGUGUAAUACAAUUUGUAUGAAAGAAAGAGACCAAACUUAACUAAA